rnacentral:rRNA from 1 species
UACGUAGGGUGCGAGCGUUGUCCGGAAUUAUUGGGCGUAAAGAGCUUGUAGGCGGUUUGUCGCGUCUGCUGUGAAAUCUCAAGGCUCAACCUUGAGCUUGCAGUGGGUACGGGCAGACUAGAGUGUGGUAGGGGAGACUGGAAUUCCUGGUGUAGCGGUGAAAUGCGUAGAUAUCUGGAGGAACACCGGUGGCGAAGGCGGAUCUCUGGGCCGAUACUGACGCUGAGGAGCGAAAGCGUGGGGAGCGAACAGG